UCCGGUUUGGCACCGGCAGUCCUCCCAGAGUCCUCGGCAUGACCCGGUAGCAACUGGGAGCGGGGGUUGCGCUCGUUGCGGGACUUAACCCAACAUCUCACGACACGUGCUGACGACAACCAUGCACCACCUGUAAACCGACCGCAAGCGGGGCGCCUGUUUCCAGGCGUUUCCGGUUCAUGUCAAGCCUUGGUAAGGUUCUUCGCGUUGCAUCGAAUUAAGCCACAUGCUCCGCCGCUUGUGCGGGCCCCCGUCAAUUCCUUUGAGUUUCAGCCUUGCGGCCGUACUCCCCAGGCGGGGCACUUAAUGCGUUAGCGCCGGCACCCAGGGGGUCGCUCCCCCAGGCACCUAGUGCCCAUCGUUUACGGCGUGGACUAC
rnacentral:misc_RNA from 1 species